rnacentral:rRNA from 1 species
UACGUAGGGGGCAAGCGUUGUCCGGAAUCAUUGGGCGUAAAGCGCGUGUAGGCGGUUCAGUAAGUCUGCUGUGAAAGUCCAGGGCUCAACCCUGGGAUGCCGGUGGAUACUGCUGGGCUAGAGUACGGAAGAGGCGAGUGGAAUUCCCGGUGUAGCGGUGAAAUGCGCAGAUAUCGGGAGGAACACCAAUUGCGAAGGCAGCUCGCUGGGACGUUACUGACGCUGAGACGCGAAAGCGUGGGGAGCGAACGAGG